AGAGGGUGAUCUGGCUAUGACAUCUGCCACCCCACUGAUCAUCAGGAUUGGUUCUGCCCAUUUGGCUGACUACAAGUGUGUCCCCCUCUUCCCUCACCACUCCAUGAGCAUCCCUCCUGAAUCUUUGCAUUUGGUGGAAGAGGACAACCUUCCCCAGUAAAGGAGGACAGCUCUUUCUCCUGUGGUAAUAUAGUUGUGCUCCUCUGCUAAAACUUCCAAACAAGUUUUUAAGGUCUGGAUUAAAGGUUUGCUUCAACUGAGCAAUGGCUAUCUGCUCAUAAUU
rnacentral:snRNA from 1 species